rnacentral:lncRNA from 1 species
UGGUGAUUUCAGUUCCAGGUUGGAUGGUGUUUUCAGUUCCAGGUUGGAUGGUGAUUUCAGGUUCCAGGUUGGAUGUUGAUUUCAGGUUGGAUGGUGUUUUCAGUUCCAGGUUGGAUAAGUGAUUUCAGGUUCCAGGUUGGAUGGUGAUUUCAGGUUGGAUGUUGUUUUCAGUUCCAGGUUGGAUGGUGAUUUCAGGUUCCAGGUUGGAUGGUGAUUUCAGGUUGGAUGGUGUUUUCAGGAUCCAGGUUGGAUGGUGUUUUCAGUUCCAGGUUGGAUGGUGUUUUCAGUUCCAGGUUGGAUGGUGUUUUCAGGUUCCAGGUUGGAUGGUGUUUUCAGUUCCAGUGUGGAUGGUGAUUUUAGGUUCCAGUUUGGAUGGUGAUUUCAGGUUGGAUGGUGUUUUCAGGUUCCAGGUUGGAUGGUGUUUUCAGUUCCAGGUUGGAUGUUGAUUUCAGGUUCCAGGUUGGAUGGUGAUUUCAGGUUGGAUGGUGAUUUCAGGUUUCAGGUUUGAUGGUGUUUUCAGUUCCAGGUUGGAUGGUGUUUUCAGGAUCCAGGUUGGAUGGUGUUUUCAGGUUCCAGGUUGGAUGGU